CCUCCCUCCCCCCCCCCCCCCCCCUCCUCUUUUUCUCUUCCUUUACCUUUUCCAUCGCUAACCAUAGUCAUUAAAGGGCAAGUGGGUGCCUGAUUAAGGCAAGGCACAAAAAUACGAAAAAUCCAUAAGAUUUAAAUUUUAAUUUCAAACAUUAUGACAUUAAUACAUAAGAUCAAAUAUAAUAAAUUAAUUAAUGAGUGCCAUAUAAUUAAGUGUUUAUAUGGAAUUAACAAAUGAUUAUACAUAUACUGAGUAUUUUAUAAUCAUUUACUAAUUUAAUGUGAUACAUAUGUUUUAAUUAAAUGUUUUACAACACUCAAUUAUUUAAUUAGUAUCUAAUAGUCUUAAGUUUCUAAGAACUGAAUAUUUAUUUUAAUUAAAAUAUAAAACACCAAUGAUUACAAAUUUUUAAAUUAUUUUAUAAUAUUAAUAAUUAUUAAAUUACAUAAAAUAAAAUGAUUUAUAAAAGUAAAAUAUAUUUUUUUUCACUCUAAAUCAUCGCAGGUGCUGAGGCUUAUGUGGCUUCCCUCCUUUCUGGAGUGUACAUCAAAUCCACCAUUUAACACUUUAACUGUAAGCCCAUUACCCAAGAAAGCAAAUAAUAAAACACAAGCAACAGCCCCCACACAAAUCCUGGAGUUUGGAGAAGCCGAGAAGGAGCACAAGCAGCAAGCCAGGUUCUUCUUGUUCUUCUUUUGGUGCGAAGCAAUAUGUG
rnacentral:misc_RNA from 1 species